CUGAGUGCCUGGCGCGCCCCCAGCUGAAAUGUUCCCUGGGGAGGCACGCACGAUUUGACACGUUCCCCUUUCCUUGUCCGAAAGCCAUGGAAAGCCAGCGUCCCUCUUGCUUUCAACCGAUAUCUCAGAUCCACAUGCCCGGCGGUGGCGGCGGUGGUUGCGAGUGCGCCAUCCCCGACGUCAUGGUCUCCACGGCUGCCACGGACUCUGGUGCCGGGUGCCUGCAGAGUCGCGGCGGCGGCCACAUCUCCGGGGCCCUGCAGAUGUCCGGCGGUGGCCACAUCUCCGGGGGUCUGCAAAUGUCCGGCGUGGGGGUGGUUUCGCAUCGGCCCACUCGAGGUUUGAGCCUUUGUGUUGCGCCGCUGGGAGUUCAUGUUCCUCCCCUUCCGAGCCCCAUUCAUGGUUGUGCCCCUUUCCUGGUUCCGGCGUGGCACACCAUGUCGAGAAGGAUUUGUCUUGCAGUUAGUCUCUGUCUUGCCUUUUUUAUUUGAUUAUUUCUGAAGUGCAGUGAGUAGGAUACUAGUGUUUUGCCAGAUCUAUGAUGCAAUGAUGUUGUACUCGAUAACUUUAUCAACUGGCAUGCACUGCGGUAUUAUCUUAACUUUUACAUCCUACUACUAGAAUUUUUCUUAGCUUAUCCUGACGUGGAGUAUGGUACUCAAUCUUCUGCUGGUUGUAUUUUUUUUAGGAGUGCUCAUGUUAUAUGUGCAAAAUUUACACCAAGCAAUUUGUUGACCAGUAACAACUGGUACAUAUUGGCAUACUUGCUUAUACUGUGUUACUUUUGGCCUAAUAUAAUUUUUGUCUGUGAUAAUAAUGAUGCAAACUUUUAAUAAACGAUCUUUAUAUGUAGAAUGUAGAACAAACAUUAUCGAUUCCUAUGUAGGCCAUGCUGAAACAUUCAGCUAUGUCGCUUCACGAUUUUACUUCAGACUGCAGAUCUUGGACACCUCAGUUCUUGCACCACUCAAAUGGACCUGCUGUGAGGUUUUUUUUUUCGACAAGAACAUUCGAUCAAUUUGACUAAGAAGGAUCAAAAGGCAGACUCAGAAGCUGACCUUGCAGAAUAUGGAACACAUAAGCGAACUAAGGUCAGCAGUUGAGGUGCGCUACACCAGAUGCAUGGCUAGUGGUUUCCCAAAUGUGUGUAGGAUAUGAUGAGAUUAAAGCAAACUACAAUACCUUUUUUACUCUGGAUAUAUGCAGGAUGCAAGCAGAAUAUGAAGAUUCCAGUGAAAGAUUCUAGUGAAGACAAAGCGAAGCUUAUUUCCACAAAAAAAGAAAAAAGAUAGACCAAUUGAAGUUUGUUUUCAGCUUCACAAACCCUCAAGAUGAAUUGUUCCAUGUUAUUAUUCAAUUUAAAAUUCCUCAUAAAAAAUUGAAAUCCCUCAAUGUCGAAAAUGAAUUUGCAUGGACUAUUGAUGUGAGCUAGUUAAAAUGUUCCACCUGUACAGAAUAUUUGAUGUACAGGCUAUUCAAGCGGCAUCUCGCAUCCACAUGUGGACAUGUCCCAACCAAGCAAUAUGAGAUAUGCAGACUAAGGCAUCGUGGCAUCCUCUCCUACCAUCCUCAAAAAGUUUGGUACAUUUUGGCAGAGAUAUGCACCAAUGCACCAGGACAAAAUGUUCAGCGAAGAUAUGCACCAUUGCAUCUGGACAAAAUGUUCAGCACAUAUUAGCACAGAUAAUGGCCUUGUUCGCUGUGCUGGUGCUGGAGGCUGCUGCUGGAGUGGUGUGAGAGAAAAACAAUGUUGGCUGGCUGGUGGCUAGAGGCUGGAGGCUACUGCUGGAGUGGUGUGAGAGGAAAACACUGCUGGCUGGCUGGAGGCUGCUGGAGCAGAAUAGGGUCAAUAUAUGCAGAGUGUAGAACAUACAAUGUAGAUUCCUAUGUAGGACAUGCUAUGUAGCUCCACGACUUGACUUCAGGUUGGUUUGUUCUUAACAACAUAAUGUCCUUUGCAAAUUGCAGAUCUUAAACCUCAACUCUUGCACCACACUUCAUAUGGACCUGCUGUGAGGUUCUUUUUAUACAAGACAUUUGAACCAUUUGACUAAGAAGGAAUGAAAUGAAGACUCAGAAACUGACCUUGUAGAAUAUGGAACACAAAAGGUAGGGGCUUGAAUAUCAUAUCAUUGUUGCUUUAGUAAGGCAUGUAGCCUACCAUUUAACCUGUUUAUAUACAACUAAGAUCGGGAGUUGAGGAGUGCUACACCAGAUUCGUGGCUAGUGAUUUCCUAAAUGUGUGCAGGGUAUAUUCCAUAACAUAAUGUACAUAUUCAAAAUUAUAAGAAUUACUUGCCCCCACAUUUAGAGCAGAUGACAUUAAUGCAAACUACAAUACCUUGUGUUUUUGGUAUAUGCAGGAUGAUAUGAAGAUUUCCAGUGAAAAGAUUCUAGUGACGACUAAUUGAAGCCAUAGGGUGUUUUCAGCUUCACAAACUCAAGAUGAAUUGUUUCUUGUUAAUAUUCAAUUUGAAAUCCCUCUCUUAUCAUUUUUUUUUGAAUUCCCUUGAUGUUGGAAAUGAAUUUGCAUGCACCAUUGAUGUGAGAUAGUAAAAUGGUCCUUCUGUACGGGAUAUUUGAUAUACAGCACUAUUAAAGCAAUAGGCA